GAAUAUUGGACAAUGGGGGGAACCCUGAUCCAGCCAUGCCGCGUGUGUGAAGAAGGCAUUUUGGUUGUAAAGCACUUUAAGCGAGGAGGAGGCUACUAUAGUUAGUACCUAGAGAUAGUGGACGUUACUCGAAGAAUACGCAACGUCUAAAUCUGUGCCAGCAGCCGCGGUAAUACAGAGGGUGCAAGCGUUAAUCGGAUUUACUGGGCGUAAAGCGCGCGUAGGGGGCCAAUUAAGUCAAAUGUGAAAUCCCCGAGCUUAACGUGGGAAGUGCAUUCGAUACUGGUUGGCUAGAGUAUGGGAGAGGAUGGUAGAAUGCCAGGUGUAGCGGUGAAAUGCGUAGAGAUCUGGAGGAAUACCGAUGGCGAAGGCAGCCAUCUGGCCUAAGACUGACACUGAGGUGCGAAAGCAUGGGGAGCAAAC
rnacentral:rRNA from 1 species